rnacentral:rRNA from 1 species
UACAGAGGUCUCAAGCGUUGUUCGGAUUCAUUGGGCGUAAAGGGUGCGUAGGCGGCGCGGUAAGUCGGGUGUGAAAUCUCGGAGCUUAACUCCGAAACUGCAUUCGAUACUGCCGUGCUUGAGGACUGGAGAGGAGACUGGAAUUUACGGUGUAGCGGUGAAAUGCGUAGAUAUCGUAAGGAAGACCAGUGGCGAAGGCGGGUCUCUGGACAGUUCCUGACACUGAGACACGAAGGCCAGGGGGAGCAAACGGG